rnacentral:miRNA from 1 species
UAGAAAUGGCCGUACUUCCUUU